CUCGAGAAGCUGAAGCAGGAGAAUCUCUUGAACUCAGGAGGCGGAGUUUGCAAUGAGCCGAGAUGGCACCACUGCACUCCAGCCUGGGCAGCAGAGUAAGAGUCCAUCACAGAAACAAAAUCUACUGAUAUAAGUUAAUUUCGAAGAUCAUUCUCCACACUUGGAGCAUGAGACUAUGCCUCUCAGCAAUUUUGGUCAGUCUCCAGAUUAGUAACUGUGACUUGCCACCCUGGCUGAUGGACUGGCAGGAAGGAGUAUGUCGUAUCAGAGAUUGCCACAGACACUCAGGGCAAUGUGAUUUGUCACUUAAAGAGGGAGGCAGCUCAAGAGCAUCUCAUCCUCCGGCUGCUGAGUCAUCCUGCUCUGGCAGUUAUUUAAACAGAAGCCUCCAGGAGACAUAUAAUCAACACUGCACUCAGACAAUGCCCAGACCUCCAGAAAUCAUGUGUCAAGCUCAGAUUGCCUUAGACAGCUCACCCAGCCAUCACUCUUACAAGACCUUGGCACCAGAGACCACCAAUUCCUCUUUGAGGUUCUCUAACAGCAACAGCAGUAUUUCUGACUUGACUUUCUUGUAUUUCUCUCACGUUAAAAUUGGUUGAGCAUCUACCAUGGGCUACAUGUGAGCUACAGGUGCUGUUGAUGAACCUGCUAAAGGACCUGAAUGUGACUGACGUCUUUGGAAGGAUGAGACUUAGUGUGCCCGUACAGUUGUGUCUAAAUGCUGUCCUUAUCUCCCAAAGGAAAG
rnacentral:lncRNA from 1 species